rnacentral:lncRNA from 1 species
CCCCACAAAACACACGUAACAAGCAGGACCCUGCCAAAGAACAAAGCCAAACCUUCCGAGGAACCACCUAAUGUGAGUUCUGCCAGGAGUAAGUGAGAUGAUUAAGUUUUGGAGUAGUACUUGGCAUGUGGUAAUUGCUGGAUAAAUACAUCUUAUUUAUAAUGUAAUAUAAAAGACAGGAGAGAAUUUGCACGACAUUUUGGAUUAAACACUUUAACACCUUGAUGCCAGUGGUGGUGCACAUCUUUAAUUCCAGCACUUAGGAGGCAGAGGCAGGCGGAUCUCUGAGUUUGAGGCUAGCCUGGUCUAUAGAGUGAGUUCCAGAACAGGCAGGGCUACACAGAGAAACCCUAUCUGUUUGUUUGUUUGUUUGUUUUUAGUCGAGCUUAAAAUCUUGGCUCUUACUGUAGUACAAACACAAAAUAAGAAUAGUUUUUGGACAUUGGAGUUCAUUGUAAUAAGGCUGUACUUGAAUGUCCCUCACAUCACCAAAGGAUUUUACUUCCAUAGUAUAUAAGCUAAGAGCUGACAGUUCUGCUGCACCAAGGAAUGAAUUGUAGGCAUGAUUUUUGGAUACAGAUUUCCUGCUAUGACUGACUUGAAAGCUAUUUGACUUGAGUGAUUGUCAUCAUUCUCAGCCCACAGGGAACAGGUUACAUUCAUUUAAGAAAUGGUGCAUGUAUUAAGAUGGUCUAUCCAUGAAGUCAUUCAUCCUCUGGAGAAACCCUAUAUCAAAAAUCCCCAAACAGACAAACAGACAAACAGACAGACAACCCCCAAACAAACCCAAAAAAUGUUAGCAAUUUUGGCCAUUCCAGGGAAAGGCAUGGAUAGGAUUGUCAUGGUCUUGCAGAUGUUCCUGUUGCUACAUCACUUUGGGUCUUCGUCUCCCUACAAGCACCAUGGAGCCAAGUGAGCCUGUGAAUUGUUGUCUCCUCUACUGCACUUAUUUCAGUGAUUGUCCUGGUUUCAUCUCCGUUGCUGUGAUCUAACACUUGGAGUAUAAAUAGUGUAAGAGAGGAAAGGUUUUAUUUCAACUUGUAGCUUUCAGUCCAUCAUUGAGGGAAGUCAGGUCAGGGACAUUGAUCUAUUUAUUGUUCUUAGCCAAGAAGCUAUUCACAAGUGACACCUUCUGGAAGAAGAAAAUCAAUGUUCUUCAGUGGAGUGAUACUGGGUAUAUCAACCACCCCCCAGUACAGGCCCACGCUCAGGAGCAGAUGGCUAAUACAAAUCACACUCCAUGGUUUUUAGUGGCUAUUUUUUCAUUUUCCUGUUUUAUUUAUUUAUUUAUUUUUCAAUGGAGGACAUGAAAUUGGGUAUGUAGGGAGGCAGGGAGAAUCUCAGAGGAAUUGAAGGAGGGGCAAGAUUAGGAUAAAAUAUACUGAAUGAAAUUCUCAAAGAUUAGCAAAAAAUAUACAAACAAACAAAAACAAAAAAGCCCCAAACCCAACCCAAACCAAACAAAAACCAACCAACCAACCAACCAACCAAACAGAAAACACCAUACAAAACUAUAAUCUUUCAAUUCACUGUCCCUAAGGGCUCAUGUAAAUAUCAUAAUAUAAAACAUAAUACAACUUUCUUGUUUGCUUGUUUGUUUUUUGUUUUUUUUCAAGACAGGGUUUCUCUGUAUAGCCCUGGCUGUCCUGGAACUCACUUUGUAGACCAGGCUGGCCUCAAACUCAGAAAUCUGCCUGCCUCUGCCUCCCGAAUGCUGGUAUUAAAGGCGUGCGACACCACGCCUGGCACAUUACAACUUUUAAAGUCCCACAGUCUUUAGAAAUGUCAUCAUUGAAGGAAGUCAGGACAUGAAUGAGCUCAAGCAGGAACUUAAAGCAGAAACCAUGGAUAAUGAUCCUUCUGGCUUUCUCCUGGGCUCAUGCUUAGUUAGCCUUCUUGUGCAUACCAGAACCCCUGUCCAGGGAAUGGUGCCACCCACAGUGGGCUAGGCCCUCCUAUAUCAGUUAACAAUCAAGACAAUCCCCCAUAGAAUGUGGAAAGGCCAGUCUGAUUUGGGUAAUCUCUACUGAGAUUUCUUUCUCAGGUGACUCUAGGCUGGGUCAAGUUGACAGUAAAGCUAUCUAGGACAGUGUUCUGCCCAUUUGUCAUGGGCACUACUCGGUCUAUGGCCAUUAGAUAGUCAUUCCCUUUUUAAAAGAGUUCUUGAAAUCUUUGGGGGGAAUUUUCCUUUCUCCAUAUUGAAAGAAGCCUCAAUUUGGCAAGCAGUAGAUCAAGAAGUCUGGCUUCUUUGCUG